rnacentral:RNase_P_RNA from 1 species
CUAGGCAAUAAGGUAAUCGCCUCUGUACUGCAAUAAGUGCAGGGGAGGAAAGUCCGGACACCAUAUGCGCGCUUUAAGCGCAUUAAAAAGGGUACCAGCUAACGGCUGGCGAGAGAAAAAUUUUUAACAGAAGUUCUAUAGACUUCUUUUAAAGAUUUCAAAUCCUAGGGAAAGUGCCACAGAGACUAUACAGUUGGUGGGUUUCGCCUUCGUCCGCCACAGGCGGACUUCGGCGGAUGCCUGUCGGCAAAAGGUGAAAAGUGAGGGGUAAAAUCCUCUUAUCUUGGUAGCAAUAUCAGGAUGUGGUAAACCCUACCUGGUGCGAGGUUAGUGUCCUCCUUCAUAUGAAGCUACGGAGGAUUAACCGCUUGAGCCCUGGAGUAAUUUAGGGCCUAGAUAAAUGAUUGCCUGGCCCGUUCUACGGGCCCCCAUACAAAAUCCGGCUUAUUCAUCGCCUGGUUUU